rnacentral:lncRNA from 1 species
CCCUGUACGCAGCACGCAGUACCACCUGUGCCCUCCAACAACUAAGGGCUUUCUCCCCAGAUCAGGCUCCUCAUGGGCACUCCUUCAGGAGAUUUCGCUCCCGAGGGCUUCCAAAUCUUCACCCCAACGGGUACUGAAGGGCAGCCCCAAAGCUGAACUGAUAAACCGCAGGGCCGUGGUGUGGCACUGUCUCACCAGAUGGCUUCUUGAAAGGAUCGCUAGCUCAGGGCUGCAGUGACACCUCCCGGGCUCCACGGCACAUUCUUGGUAGUGCCCUCUUCUCAUUCAUGAAGCUUAGACUGGGGAGAGUGAUUCGCCCAGGGUAAGAGGUGACCUUCAGAUUCAAACCCAGAUGGUCUGACCGUAGGACCAACCCACACUCUUAGUCCUCCACUGCAUUCGACUCUGAUUGUAUGACUCACUCUGGAGAGACCAAAGGACAUUAUUUCCUGGCCCACCACCAUCUUGGGCCGAGGAGAUUCUGGGAAACCCUUUCAAUAAA